AAAUUGAAGAGUUUGAUCAUGGCUCAGAUUGAACGCUGGCGGCAGGCCUAACACAUGCAAGUCGAACGGUAACAGGAAGAAGCUUGCUUCUUUGCUGACGAGUGGCGGACGGGUGAGUAAUGUCUGGGAAACUGCCUGAUGGAGGGGGAUAACUACUGGAAACGGUAGCUAAUACCGCAUAACGUCGCAAGA
rnacentral:rRNA from 1 species